rnacentral:rRNA from 1 species
CCUACGGGAGGCAGCAGUGGGGAAUAUUGCACAAUGGGGGAAACCCUGAUGCAGUGACGCCGCGUGAGUGAAGAAGUAAUUCGUUAUGUAAAGCUCUAUCAGCAGGGAAGAAAAUGACGGUACCUGAGUAAGAAGCCCCGGCUAACUACGUGCCAGCAGCCGCGGUAAUACGUAGGGGGCAAGCGUUAUCCGGAUUUACUGGGUGUAAAGGGAGCGUAGACGGCAGUGCAAGUCUGGAGUGAAAGGCGGGGGCUCAACCCCCGGACUGCUGUGGAAACUGUACGGCUGGAGUGCAGGAGAGGUAAGUGGAAUUCCUGGUGUAGCGGUGAAAUGCGUAGAUAUUAGGAGGAACACCAGUGGCGAAGGCGGCUUACUGGACUGUAACUGACGUUGAGGCUCGAAAGCGUGGGGAGCGAACAGGAUUAGAUACCCUUGUAGUC